UACGUAGGGUGCGAGCGUUGUCCGGAAUUACUGGGCGUAAAGAGCUCGUAGGUGGUUUGUCGCGUUGUCCGUGAAAAUUCCCUGGGCUUAACUGGGGGCGUGCGGGCGAUACGGGCAGACUGGAGUACUGCAGGGGAGACUGGAAUUCCUGGUGUAGCGGUGAAAUGCGCAGAUAUCAGGAGGAACACCGAUGGCGAAGGCAGAUCUCUGGGCCGAUAAACU
rnacentral:rRNA from 1 species